rnacentral:rRNA from 1 species
CCUACGGGUGGCAGCAGUGGGGAAUAUUGGGCAAUGGGCGCAAGCCUGACCCAGCAACGCCGCGUGAAGGAAGAAGGCUUUCGGGUUGUAAACUUCUUUUCUCAGGGACGAAGAAAGUGACGGUACCAGAGGCAUAAGCCACGGCUAACUACGUGCAAGCAGCCGGGGUAAUACGUAGGUGGCACGCGUGAUCCGGAGUUAUUGGGUGUAAAGGGCGGGUAGGCGGGAGCGUAAGUCAGAUGUGAAAACUCAGGGCUCAACCCUGAGCCUGCAUUUGAAACUGGGUGUCUUGAGUGCUGGAGAGGCAAUCAGAAUUCCGGGUGUAGCGGUGAAAUGCGUAGAUAUACGGAGGAACACCAGUGGCGAAGGCGGAUUGCUGGACAGUAACUGACGCUGAGGUGCGAAAGCGUGGGGAGCAAACAGGAUUAGAUACCCUUGUAGUC